GAGAACUCGGCCUGCUUUAACUGGAAAUCACUCCAGAGCGCUGUUCCCUGAUGAGGUGCACCUGACGCCCUCUUGGACGGAAAACAUGAGAAAACACUGGAGCCACCGGUUCCUAGGAACUGAUGGUGGUUGCAGGCCCUGCUGCCUGCCACCUGCCCCUUGUCCCUGCUGUAGCUGGGGAAGUCCAUGAAACUGCUUGGCCACACCCCAGCAGAGUCAGUGGGAAAGGGGAGAACGGGUAGGCAAUUGAGACAUGCGUUUGAUCCCUGGUCCAGGAAGGUCCAACAUGCUGUGGAGCAGCUAAGCCUGCACACCUCAGCUACUGAGCCUGUGCGCCAGAGCCCAGGAGCUGCAACUGCCGAGCCCACGUAGCACAGCUCCCGAAGCCCGAACACCCUGGACAGCGUGCACUGCAGCAAAGAGUAGCCCUCGCUCAGUUCAGAGGGCUACUGGGCACGGAAGAUCC
ensembl:lncRNA